rnacentral:rRNA from 1 species
UGAGCAGUGGGGGACAGCCCAGAGAAAUUUGGAUUAAUACCCCAUAUAAUUAUAGAGUGGCAUCACUUAAUAAAUAAAGAUCCUCACAAGGGAUUGCUCUUAGAUGGGUGUGCGUCUGAUUAGGUAGUUGGUUGAGGUAACGGCUCACCAAGCCUUCGAUCAGUAACUGGUGUGAGAGCACGACCAGUCACACGGGCACUGAGACACGGGCCCG